rnacentral:rRNA from 1 species
UACGUAGGGGGCAAGCGUUGUCCGGAUUUAUUGGGCGUAAAGAGCGUGUAGGCGGUCUGGUAGGUCCGUUGUGAAAACUCGAGGCUCAACCUCGAGACGCCGAUGGAAACCAUCAGACUAGAGUCCGGAAGAGGAGAGUGGAAUUCCUGGUCGUAGCGGUGAAAUGCGCAGAUAUCAGGAAGAACACCCGUGGCAAGGCGGCUCUCUAGUACGGUACUGACGCUGAGACGCGAAAGCGUGGGGAGCGAACAGG